GGAUUACAGGCGUGAGCCACCGCGCCCUGCCACAAGAGGGUAAGGAAACUGAAAUAUGACAAGGUUAAAUGAUUCAGAUGAGGGGCCGGAAAGCACGCCUCCCGAGACCCAUUCCUGGAAGCGGGUCUUUAAAGCUGCUCUCAGUUUAAAAUCAACCAAAUGCUCAGAUAUCAGAUGCGGAAACUGAGGCACAGGGAAUUUGAACAACUUGCUCAAGGUCAUAAAGCUAGAAGGAGGCACAGCCAAGCAUGGGCUUGUGUGACCUCAAAGCCUAUGUUCUCGCCACUGCUCUAAACUGUUUAUUCUGUUGGCUUGUCAUAAUGAUUGAAGACAAUGUAUAUAAAUCACAGAGGGUAGGACUCAGCUUGUAAUAUGUCCUCCAUACAUUUUAUCGAACAUUAUUAAUUAAUAAACAACAGAUAAAUAACAACAGUGCUUUGUUUGAUUAAAUUAUAUAUAUGAUUAUAUUUCUUCAGUGAAAUUGUUGGUUAUGCAUUUCUUACAAAUAAUUCACAAAUAUUAAUGAAUGUCUGUGUUGCAGCAGGCAUUUUGCUCACCACGGUGGACCUGGGGGUAUGUGAAAUAGGCACCAUCUCUGCUCUCACAAAUUUAAUACGUGCAGGCUGCUGGAUUGGACUAAAGUCCUGAGGAGAACUAUAACAAUCUCUUAGAGGGAACAGUGAUUAAACAGGGAUCAAUUGUGCCACCCAUAUAGCCUUCCUACUUACUGAUCAAGAAUGAUAGCAGACCUUAGCAAGUGCAAAUCAACAAGAGGAAUCCAAUGG
rnacentral:lncRNA from 1 species